CUAGCGUUGUUCGGAAUUACUGGGCGUAAAGGGCGCGUAGGCGGCCGAUCAAGUUAGAUGUGAAAGUCCUGGGCUUAACCUGGGGACUGCAUUUGAUACUGAUUGGCUUGAAUUCGGGAGAGGAUAGCGGAAUUCCCAGUGUAGAGGUGAAAUUCGUAGAUAUUGGGAAGAACACCGGUGGCGAAGGCGGCUAUCUGGACCGACAUUGACGCUGAGGCGCGAAAGCGUGGGGAGCAAACAGG
rnacentral:rRNA from 1 species